rnacentral:rRNA from 1 species
UACGUAGGUGGCAAGCGUUGUCCGGAUUCACUGGGCGUAAAGCGCGCGCAGGCGGUCUUCUACGUCUGGGGUGAAAACCCGGGGCUCAACUCCAGAACUGCCUUCGAUACUGAGAGUCUUGAGUCCGGGAGAGGUGAGUGGAACUGCGAGUGUAGAGGUGAAAUUCGUAGAUAUUCGCAAGAACACCAGUGGCGAAGGCGGCUCACUGGCCCGGUACUGACGCUGAGGUGCGAAAGCGUGGGGAGCAAACAGG